UGGGGAAUAUUGCACAAUGGGGGAAACCCUGAUGCAGCAACGCCGCGUGCGGGAUGACGGCCUUCGGGUUGUAAACCGCUUUCAGCCAUGACGAAGCUUUUGUGACGGUAGUGGCAGAAGAAGCACCGGCUAACUACGUGCCAGCAGCCGCGGUGAUACGUAGGGUGCGAGCGUUGUCCGGAAUUAUUGGGCGUAAAGAGCUUGUAGGCGGUUUGUCGCGUCGAAAGUGUAAACUCAGUGCUUAACGCUGAGCCUGCUUUCGAUACGGGAUGACUAGAGGAAGGUAGGGGAGAAUGGAAUUCCCGGUGGAGCGGUGGAAUGCGCAGAUAUCGGGAGGAACACCAGUGGCGAAGGCGGUUCUCUGGACCUUUCCUGACGCUGAGAAGCGAAAGCGUGGGUAGCAAACAGG
rnacentral:rRNA from 1 species